CCAGCAGCCGCGGUAAUACGGAGGAUGCGAGCGUUAUCCGGAUUUAUUGGGUUUAAAGGGUGCGUAGGCUGUUAUAUAAGUCAGUGGUGAAAUAUUCGGGCUCAACCGGGAUACUGCCAUUGAUACUGUAUAGCUGGAAUAUGGUUGCUGUGGGUGGAAUGUGUGGUGUAGCGGUGAAAUGCAUAGAUAUCACACAGAAUAUCGAUUGCGAAGGCAACUCACAAAGCCAUUAUUGACGCUGAUGCACGAAAGUGUGGGGAUCAAACAGGAUUAGAUACCCUGGUAGUCCACACUGUAAACGAUGAUAACUAGCUGUCGGCGAUAGAUAGUCGGUGGCUAAGCGAAAGCGAUAAGUUAUCCACCUGGGGAGUACGACCGCAAGGUUGAAACUCAAAGGAAUUGACGGGGGCCCGCACAAGCGGAGGAACAUGUGGUUUAAUUCGAUGAUACGCGAGGAACCUUACCCGGGCUCGAACGGUGCAGGAAUAUGGUAGAGAUAUCAUAGCUAGCAAUAGUCUGUAUCGAGGUGCUGCAUGGUUGUCGUCAGCUCGCACCGUGAGGUAUCGGCUUAAGUGCCAUCACGAGCGCAACCCUUGUCGUUAGUUACCAUCAAGUAAAGUUGGGGACUCUAGCGAGACUGCCACCGUAAGGUGUGAGGAAGGGGGGGAUGACGUCAAAUCAGCACGGCCCUUACGUCCGGGGCGACACACGUGUUACAAUGGUAGGUACAGAGGGGCGCUAUCCAGUGAUGGAGUGCGAAUCUCAAAAACCUAUCUCAGUUCGGAUUGGAGUCUGCAACUCGACUCCAUGAAGUUGGAUUCGCUAGUAAUCGCGCAUCAGCCAUGGCGCGGUGAAUACGUUCCCGGGCCUUGUACACACCGCCCGUCAAGCCAUGGAAGCCGGGGGUGCCUGAAGUUCGUGACCGCAAGGAGCGACCUAGGGCAAAACUGGUAACUGGGGCGAAGUCGUAACAAGGUAGCCGAU
rnacentral:rRNA from 1 species